rnacentral:rRNA from 1 species
ACAGGUGCUGCAUGGCUGUCGUCAGCUCGUGUCGUGAGAUGUUGGGUUAAGUCCCGCAACGAGCGCAACCCUCAUCUUCAGUUGCCAUCAGGUUUGGCUGGGCACUCUGGAGAAACUGCCUGUGACAAGCAGGAGGAAGGCGGGGAUGACGUCAAGUCCUCAUGGCCCUUACGGGCUGGGCUACACACGUGCUACAAUGGCGGUGACAAUGGGCAGCGAAGGGGCGACCUGGAGCUAAUCCCCAAAAACCGUCUCAGUUCGGAUUGUACUCUGCAACUCGAGUGCAUGAAGGUGGAAUCGCUAGUAAUCGUGGAUCAGCAUGCCACGGUGAAUACGUUCCCGGGCCUUGUACACACCGCCCGUCACACCAUGGGAGUUGGCUUUA